rnacentral:rRNA from 1 species
AUUGAACGCUGGCGGCAGGCCUAACACAUGCAAGUCGAACGAGUGGCGGACGGGUGAGUAAUGACUGGGAAACUGCCUGAUGGAGGGGGAUAAUUACUGGAAACGGUAGCUAAUAACGCAUACCAUCGGAUGUGCCCAGAUGGGUUUAGCUAGUUGGUGUGGUAAAGGCUCACCUAGGCGACCAUCCGUAGCUGGUCUGAGAGGAUGACAAGCAACACUGGAACUGAGAGACGGUACAGACUCCAGCGGGAGGAAGCAGUGGGGAUAAUUGCAUAAUGGGCUGAAGGCUGAUGCAGCCAUGCCGCGUGUAUGAAGAGAGCAAUCGGGUUGUAAAGUACUUCCAGCGGGGAGUCGUUACCCGAAGAAGAAGCACCGGCUAACUCCGUGCCAGCAGCCGCGGUAAUUC